UUCACUUGUAGUUAUUAGUAGUUGAUGUUCACAGCCAGAUUUCCGUUGAUCAUCACUUUGAUUGAUAGUAAUUAUGUGAGUACCAUCAGCAUCAGGUACCUCUAUGAAGAUAUAAAGAAAAAAGAGAAGAGAAAAAAACAAAUUUAAGAAACAAGAAUCACACAAAAUGUCACAGACGAAAACAAUAGUUGAAAUAAGCAACUGUAAAGGAAAGUUAUCAGUUUGUUACCAAUCAAGAUAAAUGAUAAAAACGUGUGAGAGGAACCAUGAAAAAAGGAUGAAAAGAAGAUGAAAUUGCUGAUGAUGACGAUUAAAAUAGAGGAAGGAUUAUUAUUCUCAGUCUGAUUAAAAUCAAGGUUGAUUGUGGAAACUUGGAUGAAAUAAAAUUGAAACGGAACAAUAAGAAAAUGUAAAACUGUAUUAAAAGUAUUAAAACAAAGCUUUAUGAAGCUUGAUGACUAUCAGUUGGUAUUAACCAAUUGAAUGAUGAUGAAAAAAAUUAGUAACAAGUUCAAAGAUAAGGAAAAGGAUUUUAACGGUAAGAAUAUUUUAGCUCUCAAUUUGUCCAAACCUAAAAACUGGUUAAACAAACGGUCUUCUAACGGUUAAUGUCGCUGAUCAUGAACAUGGUGAGAUUGAAAGGAGUAAGGAAGACAGAACAGGAUAACUCUUCCCGCUCCUUUCUCUCGGGUUUUACUUUAUUUCAUUGUCUUCCUUUUCAUCUUGUAUCUUCUGUCAAUCUUGUUUCUCUUCUGAAUCUGUGUCUUCUUUCAACCAUGGUCUAA